rnacentral:misc_RNA from 1 species
UACGAACCGUACGAACGUUAUUCGGAAUCACUGGGCUUAAAGGGUGCGUAGGCGGCGCUGAAAGUUGGGUGUGAAAUCCCUCGGCUUAACCGAGGAACUGCGCCCAAAACUGCAGUGCUCGAGGGAGACAGAGGUGAGCGGAACUUAGGGUGGAGCGGUGAAAUGCGUUGAUAUCCUAAGGAACGCCAGUGGCGAAAGCGGCUCACUGGGUCUCUGCUGACGCUGAGGCACGAAAGCUAGGGUAGCGAACGGG